CAAGCUCGAGCGUCAGGUGGAGCUUCUACGGGAAGAAAACAUCCAUUGUUCGAAGCGCGAAACUAGAGGAGAGGUCGGGAGGGAUUGAAAAGCUUUUUCUAAUGGCGUUUAUGAGAGGAGAGCCAUUGGUGGCGAAGCUCGCAUUACUUGCAAGGUAUGGAGUUCUUCCAGGGGCCAUGGUGGCUGCUUUGAUCUUCUCCCCGCCGCAGGAGACUAACAAGAAGAACAGUUCUUCUUCCAAGUAGAACGUCUUCUCUUUCAAAGAAAAAAAAAAAAAAUCAGCCAUUCGUGGUGAUGGUGCAUGUGCUGAACAUGUGGAGAUCCACAAGGUUGCUGGGUCUUGCAAUAAUUCUUCUCCAUAAAUUCUUGUUUUUGUUUAAACCAAAUGUUCAUUGAUAGAUUCCAAGUAUAGUCUGGACUUGAAUUUUUCUUUGAAUAAAUGUAGAGUUUGUGCAUCAUGAACAAGUGCAAGAUGGUCUUGAUCUAGUCCAUCGAGAAUUUGAGGUAGAUAAAAAUGUGAAUCUUGCUGUCAUUCAUAAUAUGGAAUCACACUGAAUUACUUGUUGGAA